GAUGAACGCUAGCGGCAGGCCUAAUACAUGCAAGUCGGACGGGAUUCAGGAGCUUGCUUCUGAUGAGAGUGGCGCACGGGUGCGUAACACGUAUGUAACCUACCUUUAUCAGGGGGAUAGCCUCUCGAAAGAGAGAUUAAGCCCGCAUAAAAUCACAGCACAGCAUUGUGUAAUGAUCAAAUAUUUAUAGGAUAAAGAUGGGCAUGCGGAACAUUAGCUAGAUGGCGGGGUAACGGCCCACCAUGGCGACGAUGUUUAGGGGAUCUGAGAGGAUGGCCCCCCACACUGGUACUGAGGCACGGACCAGACUCCUACGGGAGGCAGCAGUAAGGAAUAUUGGUCAAUGGGCGGAAGCCUGAACCAGCCAUGCCGCGUGCAGGAAGACGGCCCUACGGGUUGUAAACUGCUUUUAUACGGGAAUAAACCCAGAUACGUGUAUCUGGCUGAAUGUACUGUAAGAAUAAGGAUCGGCUAACUCCGUG
rnacentral:rRNA from 1 species